AGCGAACGCUGGCGGCAGGCCUAACACAUGCAAGUCGAACGAACCUUUCGGGGUUAGUGGCGGACGGGUGAGUAACACGUGGGAACGUGCCUUUAGGUUCGGAAUAACUCAGGGAAACUUGUGCUAAUACCGAAUGUGCCCUUCGGGGGAAAGAUUUAUCGCCUUUAGAGCGGCCCGCGUCUGAUUAGCUAGUUGGUUGAGGUAAUGGCUCACCAAGGCGACGAUCAGUAGCUGGUCUGAGAGGAUGAUCAGCCACAUUGGGACUGAGACACGGCCCAAACUCCUACGGGAGGCAGCAGUGGGGAAUCUUGCGCAAUGGGCGAAAGCCUGACGCAGCCAUGCCGCGUGAAUAAUGAAGGUCUUAGGAUUGUAAAAUUCUUUCACCGGGGACGAUAAUGACGGUACCCGGAGAAGAAGCCCCGGCUAACUUCGUG
rnacentral:rRNA from 1 species